rnacentral:rRNA from 1 species
AGAGUUUGAUCCUGGCUCAGAUUGAACGCUGGCGGCAGGCCUAACACAUGCAAGUCGAACGGUAACAGGAAACAGCUUGCUGUUUCGCUGACGAGUGGCGGACGGGUGAGUAAUGUCUGGGAAACUGCUGAUGGAGGGGGAUAACUACUGGAAACGGUAGCUAAUACCGCAUAACGUCGCAAGACCAAAGAGGGGGACCCUCGGGCCUCUUGCCAUCGGAUGUGCCCAGAUGGGAUUAGCUAGUAGGUGGGGUAACGGCUCACCUAGGCGACGAUCCCUAGCUGGUCUGAGAGGAUGACCAGCCACACUGGAACUGAGACACGGUCCAGACUCCUACGGGAGGCAGCAGUGGGGAAUAUUGCACAAUGGGCGCAAGCCUGAUGCAGCCAUGCCGCGUGUAUGAAGAAGGCCUUCGGGUUGUAAAGUACUUUCAGCGGGGAGGAAGGGAGUAAAGUUAAUACCUUUGCUCAUUGACGUUACCCGCAGAAGAAGCACCGGCUAACUCCGUGCCAGCAGCCGCGGUAAUACGGAGGGUGCGAGCGUUAAUCGGAAUUACUGGGCGUAAAGCGCACGCAGGCGGUUUGUUAAGUCACAUGUGAAAUCCCCGGGCUCAACCUGGGAACUGCAUCUGAUACUGGCAAGCUUGAGUCUCGUAGAGGGGGGUAGAAUUCCAGGUGUAGCGGCGAAAUGCGUAGAGAUC